GAGAAAUAUUGGUCAAUGGACGGAAGUCUGAACCAGCCAAGUAGCGUGCAGGAUGACGGCCCUAUGGGUUGUAAACUGCUUUUGUAUGGGGAUAAAGUUAGGGACGUGUCCCUAUUUGCAGGUACCAUACGAAUAAGGACCGGCUAAUUCCGUGCCAGCAGCCGCGGUAAUACGGAAGGUCCAGGCGUUAUCCGGAUUUAUUGGGUUUAAAGGGAGCGUAGGCUGGAGAUUAAGUGUGUUGUGAAAUGUAGACGCUCAACGUCUGAAUUGCAGCGCAUACUGGUUUCCUUGAGUACGCACAACGUUGGCGGAAUUCGUCGUGUAGCGGUGAAAUGCUUAGAUAUGACGAAGAACUCCGAUUGCGAAGGCAGCUGACGGGAGCGCAACUGACGCUUAAGCUCGAAGGUGCGGGUAUCAAACAGGAUUAGAUACCCUGGUAGUCCGCACAGUAAACGAUGGAUGCCCGCUGUUGGUACCUGGUAUCAGCGGCUAAGCGAAAGCAUUAAGCAUCCCACCUGGGGAGUACGCCGGCAACGGUG
rnacentral:rRNA from 1 species